AGGCAGAGGCAGGCAGGCCUCUUUGAGUUUAAGACUAGUCUAGUCUACACAGUGAGUUCCAGACCAAGUUAGAGCUGCACAGUGAGAUCCUGUCAAGGAAAAAAAAUCCUAAUAGGUUCCACAGUGGCCGGAGCAAGGAGUAGAAAAAAAGAUAUAGAAGGGGCCUGACCAGUAUUUGCUUAGUGAAAAUGAGAAUGUUAGUUUCAUCAACUUGCGGCUGGGACACCUUUAACCCAACACUUGUACUUGGGAGGCAGAGGCAGGUGGAUCUCAGUGAGUUAAAGGUCAGUCUGGUCUACAGAGCAAGUUCCAGGACAACCAAGGCUACACAGAGAAACUCUGUCUCAAAAAGACAAUAAGUUAAAAUAAUAAAUCACUCACUGUUAUAUUAAAAAAAAAAUUCAAUGUGUAGUGGAGGUGAAAGGCUAAAUGCAAAAGCAGAAUCCAAGAGACCAGGGAAUGGGCUGAUGAUGUCAGCCCGCCCACAGUGGUGUAGCCCAAAACAGGGACAAGCAGUAAAGGUGAGUCGGAUUCAUUAUACAUUGUAAUUAUAAAACCGGUAAGGUGAUAGCAAGGGUCGGAGUCAUUUGUCAGUGCCAUAGUAGAACCAAAAGAUUUGCUAAGCAGUUGUAUAUCAGGUAUGAGAAGAAUAAAAGUUAACUUACGAUUAGACUUAAAUAAGUAAACUACUUAGCACUAUGAUAAAACAUUCCAGUGCCUAGAGAGCAUUAGGAUCCUUAGCUACUGGUAAUUCCAAGCGUAUUCAGACCAACCGAUGUCACUAUCUUUGACAUCCAAGGCAAACCUACUGAAUUAGCCUGCAUUUUAACAAAAUCUUCAGAAUUUUGAAGAGUUUUCAAAAAUUGUGUGAUUCUGCAGAACUUGACCAAUGUAUUUGAGAUCAGACAUUGAAUACUCCAGUAGACAAAUUCUCCACAGACCUACAGGAUCAGAAACCUCUGGCAUGAAGCCCAGCAACUGUUUUAACAUGCUCUGUGGAUAAUUCUGAUGGAUACCGAAGUAUGAGAACCAGAGCCAGCUCCAAGCAAGUGGCCCUCUAAUUGCUUUAUGGUUUUAGGUAUAUGUAUGCAUGUGUGUACAAGUGAGUUGUGCCCAAGUAUGUAGAGUCCAGAGCAGGAAUAUUGUCUUCUCUAUCCUUUGCCUUAUUGCCUUGUAACAGUAUCUCUCACUGUAAGGGAAACUCAUUGUUUUGGCUAGGCUGGCUGGCCAGAGAAGUCUCAAGAUCUCCUGAUCUUGCUGGGGUUACAAACAGCCAUGCUCAACUUUUUACGUGGGUGAUUGGGAUUCAAACUCAGGUCCCUUUGCUUGCAAAAUGAAUGCUCCUGCCCACUAAUGUGGAAUCUUUGUACUGUGAAGAUGUGUAUUUGCCCAGGCACCUUCUCAUUGGUUUAAUAAAAAGCUAAAUGACCAAUAUCUAGGCAGGAGGUAUAAGCAGGGCUUCCAGGCACAGGGGGGACUCUGGGAAGAAGAGAGACAGAGAAGUCAGCCAAACUUGAAACAAAUUGGACACACAGAAUGAGAGGUAAAAGCCACAUGGUAGAACAUGGUAGAACCCAUAAAAAUAUGGGUUAAUUUAUAAGAGCUAGUUAGGAACAAGCCUAAGCUAUAGACCAAGCUUUCAUAUUAAGUCUCCAUGUCAUUAUUUGGGAGCUGUCUGACAGGACAGACACCUUGCACAUUAAGCCAUCUCCCAGAUCCAUCUAUUUUUAUAAAGAUUUAUUGGAACACAUCUGCAUCCAUUGAUGUAUUUUCUAUGGUGACUUUCAUGCCACAGCAAAUCAGUUACUAUGACAGAGUGUUCGACAUCUAAAAUACAAGCCAGCAAGAUGAGUCAGUGAGAAAAAGCACUUUCCCUAAGCCUGAAAACCUGUUUGAUCCCCCAAAAACUAUAUGGUAGAAAGAGAAAAUGGAGUUCAUCAAGUUGAUUUCUGACCUUCAUAUGCUUUUGGUGAGAUAUGCAUGCCCACAUAUACAGUCCCUCAAAAGAAAUAUCAAAUCUAAAAGACUCUUCCUCUUCUGUAAUGGAAGUUUUCAAGUCCCUGCCUUAAACAUAUCACAGUUCAACAGAGGGCUCUCGUAAGUUGCUCAGCAGACCAGACUGCCAGAGAAGCUUUUGAUUACUGUGCUAUAAGACUGACAGGUAACUCUGGUGGUGGGGAAUGGAGGAUGUCCAGACAGGAUCUCACUAUGUAGCUCAAGCCAGUUUGAACUCACACUUCUACCAAAGCCUCCUGAGUGAUGGGAUUACAGAUACACACAUGUAUGCAUCACACACAUAAAAGUCAGUCAAAGUCUCCAGACAGGCAACAUAUGCCAGAGUUACAUGAAACACAUUCAACUUAACGUAAGAGAAUAAAGAGAUGAUAUUUUGUCAGAGACCUGGUUGGGAAACUCAAUGUACUCAAAAUAUUUGGGUGAACUGUUAUGGUUUCACUUUUCAUAAUCUGUCUUCUCAAUCCUCCUUUUUCUUUCUGUUCUGAUAUUCUUGGAAUAGCAGCAAGUCCAAGAAAACCAAUACAUUUAAGGGAAAGCUGCAUCUUUAGGCUGACUUCCUGCCAAGCCCAAUGCAAUGACCUCAACCCCGCAGACUCCAUGUUCAGCUUCUUCUCCAAGAGUCCAACUGUAUCCAGCCCUGGAUUCUCUUUUCAGACAAUCUAAAGAACUGAAGAGAAAACCUAAAGCCUCUACACAGAUUGGUGACUGGGCUCCAAGCCACCCAAAGAGGGAAACUACAAAGGGAAAGCUCAAGGUCUCUCUGUUCAACCCCGACUGAACUGGAACUCUCCUUGUAGACCAGACUGGACUUGGAUUCACCUCCGGCACACUGGAAUUAAAGUUGUGAACUACUACUCCCAACAAAAAAAUUAAAAGUAACAGAAGAUAACAGCAGUAUGCUAUAAAACCACAUUCUCUACUGUUACUCUUUGGUUUCAUAGUGGCCAGGCAAGUCCAGGCAAGUCAGGACGGGAGGAAGGACCAGCAACUUCCUUAUCUGAACAGAAGGCCUCUGGCAGCCAUGUACUACCUCAAGACCAGGCAAAGACUUGGACAUACAAGAUGGUGGACACCGGGGACUCAGCCGCAGGAGGGGAGACACUUCUUUUGUACUGCAGUGGAUAAGAAGACUUCUCUGGAUGCAAUGUGAUCAGCUGCCUCAGACUCCAGUGGCUAAGACUUUCCUGCCAAGAAGAAUUAUUAUCAUUAAACUUUGAGCCAAAUAAAACCUUCUUCCUGCCAGGCGGUGGUGGCACACGCCAUUAAUCCCAGCACUCGGGAGGCAGAGGCAGGCGGAUCUUUGUGAGUUUGAGGCCAGCCUGGU